GAUGAACGCUGGCGGCGUGCCUAACACAUGCAAGUCGAACGAGAUGCGUAUUGGAAAGCUUCGGCCGGAAGAUGCGUUAUCUAGUGGCGGACGGGUGAGUAACACGUGGGUAACCUGCCUUAUGGAGGGGGAUAACAGAGAGAAAUCACUGCUAAUACCGCAUAAGCACACAUUGCCGCAUGGCAGAGUGUGAAAAGAUUUAUCGCCAUAAGAUGGACCCGCGUCUGAUUAGCCAGUUGGCAGGGUAAAAGCCUACCAAAGCAACGAUCAGUAGCCGAUCUGAGAGGAUGACCGGCCACAUUGGGACUGAGACACGGCCCAAACUCCUACGGGAGGCAGCAGUGGGGAAUAUUGCACAAUGGGGGAAACCCUGAUGCAGCGACGCCGCGUGAGUGAAGAAGUAUUUCGGUAUGUAAAGCUCUAUCAGCAGGGAAGAUAAUGACAAUACCUGACUAAGAAGCCCCGGCUAACUACGUG
rnacentral:rRNA from 1 species